rnacentral:rRNA from 1 species
UGAUACUAAGCCAUGCGAGUCUUUGUAGUAAUACAAGGCAGACGGCUCAGUAACACGUAGUCAACCUACCCUAUGGACGAGAAUAAUCUCGGGAAACUGAGCAUAAUUCUUGAUAGAUCAUAAUGCCUGGAAUGGUUUAUGGUUAAAAUGAUUCGUCGCCAUAGGAUGGGACUGCGGCCUAUCAGCUUGUUGGUGAGGUAAUGGCCCACCAAGGCGAUUACAGGUACGGGCUCUGAGAGGAGAAGCCCGGAGAUGGGUACUGAGACACGGACCCAGGCCCUAUGGGGCGCAGCAGGCGAGAAAACUUUGCAAUGUGCGAAAGCACGACAAGGUUAAUCCGAGUGAUUUCUGCUAAAGAAAUCUUUUGCCAGUCCUAAAACCACUGGUGAAUAAGGGGUGGGCAAGUUCUGGUGUCAGCCGCCGCGGUAAAACCAGCACCUCAAGUGGUCAGGAGGAUUAUUGGGCCUAAAGCAUCCGUAGCCUGUUCUAUAAGUUUGCGGUUAAAUCUAUACGCUCAACGUAUAGGCUGCUGUAAAUACUGUAGAACUAGGGAGUGGGAGAGGUAGACGGUACUCGGUAGGAAGGGGUAAAAUCCUUUGAUCUAUUGAUGACCACCUGUGGCGAAGGCGGUCUACCAGAACACGUUCGACGGUGAGGGAUGAAAGCUGGGGGAGCAAACCGGAUUAGAUACCCGGGUAGUCCCAGCUGUAAACUAUGCAAACUCAGUGAUGCAUUGGCUUGUGGCCAAUGCAGUGCUGCAGGGAAGCCGUUAAGUCUGCCGCCUGGGAAGUACGUACGCAAGUAUGAAACUUAAAGGAAUUGGCGGGGGAGCACCACAAGGGGUGAAGCCUGCGGUUCAAUUGGAUUCAACGCCGGAA